CACAUUCCAGUUAAUUUACAAAAUUCCCGUACUCAGAGCAAAAGUUUAUGUUUUUGAGCAAAAUCAAAUCACGAACACCGUAGACCAUCCCAAAGGUCUUACUUGGCUCAAACACUAACUAAAACAAGAAAACACAAUUACUACAUAGGUAAUAAUGUGUGCAGAACUCAAAAACAAAAGCAAAAACAAAAACAUAAAAA
rnacentral:lncRNA from 1 species